GGAGGGGUGCGAGCGUUGUUCGGAAUCAUUGGGCGUAAAGCGCGUGUAGGCGGCCGAAUAAGUCUGAUGUGAAAGCCCGGGGCUUAACCCCGGAAGUGCAUUGGAUACUGUUCGGCUAGAGGACGAGAGGGGGAAGCGGAAUUCCUGGUGUAGGGGUGAAAUCCGUAGAUAUCAGGAGGAACAUCAGCGGCGAAGGCGGCUUCCUGGCUCGUAUCUGACGCUGAGACGCGAAAGCGUGGGGAGCAAACAGGAUUAGAUACCCUGGUAGUCCACGCCCUAAACGAUGGAUACUAGUCGUCGGAGUACCUAAUAGCUUCGGUGACGUAGCUAACGCAUUAAGUAUCCCGCCUGGGGAUUACGGUCGCAAGAUUA
rnacentral:rRNA from 1 species